rnacentral:rRNA from 1 species
GAUGAACGCUGGCGGCGUGCCUAAUACAUGCAAGUCGAGCGAACAGACGAGGAGCUUGCUCCUCUGACGUUAGCGGAGGACGGGAGAGUAACACGUGGAUAACCUACCUAUCAGACUGGGAUCACUUCGGGAAACCGGAGAUAAUCCCGGAUAAUAUAUUGAACCGUAUGGUUCAAUAGUGAAAGACGGUUUUGCUGUCACUACUAGAUGGAUACGCGCUGCAUUAGCUGGUUGGUACGGUAAAGGGCUAUCACGGCAACGAUGCGUAUCCGACGUGAGGGGGGGGUCGGCCACACUAGAACGUAGACACGGUCCAUGCUCCUACGAGAGGCAGCAGUAGGGAACCUGCCGCAAUGGGCGGAAGCUUGGCGGAGCAACGGCGCGUGAGUUGUGAAGGUCUUCGGAGCGUAAAACUCUGUUAUUAGUGAAGAACAAAUUUGUAAGUAACUGUGCACUUCGUGACGGUACCGGAUCAGAAAGCCACGGCUAACUACGUG